AGCAGCCGCGGUAAUUCCAGCUCCAAUAGCGUAUAUUAAAGUUGUUGCAGUUAAAAAGCUCGUAGUUGAAUUUCGGAAUUUUUUUAUCGGUUGAAUCAACAGGUUCGUACUGAUUUUAAGAAUUUCUACCUUCUGGAGAACCUUAAUGUCAUUAAUUUGGUGUUUUGGGAAACCAGGACUGUUACCUUGAAAAAAUUAGAGUGUUUAAAGCAGGCUUAUGUCUGAAUAUAUUAGCAUGGAAUAAUGAAAUAGGACGGCAUGGUUCUAUUUUGUUGCUAUUUUGUUGGUUUCUAGGAUCACCGUAAUGAUUAAUAGGGAUAGUUGGGGGCAUUAGUAUUCAAUUGUCAGAGGUGAAAUUCUUGGAUUUAUUGAAGACUAACUUCUGCGAAAGCAUUUGCCAAGGAUGUUUUCAUUAAUCAAGAACGAAAGUUAGGGGAUCGAAGACGAUCAGAUACCGUCGUAGUCUUAACCAUAAACUAUGCCGACUAGGAAUCGGACGAAGUUAAUUUUUUAAUGACUCGUUCGGCGCCUUACG
rnacentral:rRNA from 1 species